UGGGGAAUUUUGGACAAUGGGCGAAAGCCUGAUCCAGCAAUGCCGCGUGUGUGAAGAAGGCCUUCGGGUUGUAAAGCACUUUUGUCCGGAAAGAAAUCCUUGGCUCUAAUACAGUCGGGGGAUGACGGUACCGGAAGAAUAAGCACCGGCUAACUACGUGCCAGCAGCCGCGGUAAUACGUAGGGUGCAAGCGUUAAUCGGAAUUACUGGGCGUAAAGCGUGCGCAGGCGGUUUGCUAAGACCGAUGUGAAAUCCCCGGGCUCAACCUGGGAACUGCAUUGGUGACUGGCAGGCUAGAGUAUGGCAGAGGGGGGUAGAAUUCCACGUGUAGCAGUGAAAUGCGUAGAGAUGUGGAGGAAUACCGAUGGCGAAGGCAGCCCCCCUGGGCCAAUACUGACGCUCAUGCACGAAAGCGUGGGGAGCAAACAGGAUUAGAUACCCUGGUAGUCCACGCCCUAAACGAUGUCAACUAGUUGUUGGGGAUUCAUUUCCUAGUAACGUAGCUAACGCGUGAAGUUGACCGCCUGGGGAGUACGGUCGCAAGAUUAAAACUCAAAGGAAUUGACGGGGUCAUGCUGUUUCC
rnacentral:rRNA from 1 species